rnacentral:tRNA from 1 species
GGAGAAAUAGUUUAACGACAAAACAUAACACUGAAAAUGUUAAAAUAACAUAGUUUUUUUCCA